GGGGGUGCAGAUGGGGAGAGAGAGCACUUAGAAGUAGAGCAUGGGGUGGUGAAAGGACAAAUUUCAGAGUGUCCAAGGCCUAUUUAUGCUUUAGGACAGACUAGAAUCCUUACCAUUGCCUACUAGGUUAGCAAGAUCUAGCCCCAGCCUAGCUCCCUGUGCUCCAACCACAGGCCUGAGUUGAAAGAAAACUAAACUCCUGUGACUUAUAAUAAAUACUGCCAAGGAGGGAAGGCGAAGAUGUCAGUGUGACUCCAUUGUGGCCUAAGGAAGAUGUGUCUUGACUCUACACACAGACAUACUGAUCUCUUGGCAGGAAGCCCCUUGGAGUGGAGGUGGAGCGCUCAGGUGGGGCAGCUUGAGGUCCCUGGUCACUAAGAUCUUUCCUCUGCUCUGACUCCAAGCAAAUCAAGUUUCCUGAGUCAUCUGACUGUGUCAACUGUCCCUGGGAAAGAAUGCAGGCAUAGCUGGCCCCUGAACAGAUCCAUUCCCCACUGUAGUGAGUGCCUGGGUAUUUUAUCUAUCUCUUUUACGAGUUCUGUCCACUACCCACCAACACACAAAAGUACGCAUUUCCCUUGUAGGCACGCCGUUGGGAUUCCUGUGCUGAGUUCCAACAUGUGGGUGUGUUCCCCCGGCCGAGGAGGGAAGUGUUAAUUCCACACACCAGUCAAUCAUACAGAAUGAAGCUUGAAAUGUGUUUUAGCCAGCCUGUGAUUGAGAAAAUAGAAAAUCUUCUACCUUCAACCCAAAUUAACAUGUAGUCAAAAUGUACUGCUGAUGCGGUAAGUGGCCUUUCUUUGAAGUUAAAGACCAUCUCCCUCCAUUGUAUUGACAGACACUACCAGGGCCAGGUGGGAGAGCUGGGAGGACUUGACCUCAGGGUCCCUGACUUAGGAGCUAUGUGGUCCACAGGGCCUCAGCCCUGGCAUCAUGAUGUCCUUGUCCCACACCCAGAUCAAGUGAAUCAGAACCUCUGGAUGGAGGAGGUAGGCCACUUUUGGUAAAAAGCUCCUGCAGGUCAGCCUGAUGAAGACACAUAUCUAGUUCAAUUCCCUCCUUUUAUGAAAACUGAGGCCUAGGGAGGAGAGGUUGCUUGGCCAAGGGCCCCCCAGGGAGUCUGUAGGAAAACUCUGACUCACCAAUGAAAGACCUGAAUUCAGCCUUGAAUUUUCAAACAGUUGUCCUUGAUUCUGUAGUGUUGUAGUAGAUCAGGCCCAGAAGUGACGGAAGAAGCCACAAUCCUCUUGAGGCUUGCUUGUCUUCCCUCUCUGUGCUUUUCUCUCCCAUCUCAGCCCCUCCACCUCCCAGUCACCUGUGCACCGCCUCCCAGUUGAACAAAAGCCUCACUUAAGCAUGAACCCCAGGCCUGGCUUUCCUAAUCCAUGGCCCCUGCCUUGUGCUAUAUAAAGUGCUGGCCCCUUGAUUAUUAAUUUCCUCACCGCAGGCUGAGACCAGACCUGGAAUACCCCACCAAGCCAAACUCAAAUGUUUGCACAUCCACUUGCUUUAAACAUAGCCCCAAUAAGCCUAUGGUAAUCCAUUUAGAACCUGCCUGCUCUGUAUACUCCAUGAAACUGUAUCCAAUAUCUGCUGGCCAAGGAUAAGCCCCAAGCCAUAAAGGCCUCAAGCCACUGCAGCCCAUAGGAGCUCUCUGACCCAGAGAUUCCCUGCUGUGCUGCUGGGUGACUUCACCUGGCCAUGUAAGCCCCCUUUCCAAUUCUCUUCUUUCCUAGGAGUCCUCUUGCCCUCCUUCCCCUCUGAGUAGGACCCCAUCUCCACACUAU
rnacentral:lncRNA from 1 species